rnacentral:lncRNA from 10 species
CAAGUCCCCGCGCGGCGGAGUAGCAAGGCGGGCGGGUAGAGGCCGACGCGCGCCCAUUGGCCGACUCGGCUGCGGGCGUCCCCGUGGCCACGUGACAAUAACACCGCUCCAGCCGGGGGCCUACGCGCGGGAGAAAGUGGAGCUGAGAUUGUAGGAAAUUCAGAGUUAUAUUUUCCAGCCUCUCCAGCCAGAAGUCUCCACUACGUCGUGGGAAACAUAUAUCAAAUGGAGUUGAAAGGCAAAAGGAAGUGAUCAGCGCCACAAGAUGUUGAAACUAAUGGAGACCGCAGAGAUCAUGUGCUAAGGGGCCUUCCUCCUCUGGGGUGGGAGAAGGAAUGUUCUCUGGAGAAAUCUGUAUGAUAGAAUAGUGAAGGUAACUGGCCUGAACUACAGCUCUUGAGCCAUCUGGUUUCACCUUCAGGGAGGUCCCACUGAAGCUGAAUGACUGUGCAGGUUGAUACACUGGACAUUUUCGGUGAAACCUGUGUGAACAGACAACUGGAGGGUCAGAUGAUUUAUCCUCUCCCCAGUACCUUGGCACAAGCCUAGGCUACAGAAUGAGAUGCACGUAAGAAGUCUGUGACCUGGACCAGAGCAGCCCAGCUGAACACAUGCUGGAUUGGAAGAACCACCUUUGACCUGAAGACCUGUGAGUGAGAAUAAAUGCUGUUGGGCUAAUUGAUGUAUCAAGAGAAUGCAGCUGUCAUAAUUAAGAAGAAAAGACAUUUAAGCCACCAGA